GUGUCAGCCGCCGCGGUAAAACCAGCACCUCAAGUGGUCAGGAUGAUUAUUGGGCCUAAAGCAUCCGUAGCCGGCUCAGUAAGUUUUCGGUUAAAUCUGUACGCUCAACGUACAGGCUGCCGGGAAUACUGCAGAGCUAGGGAGUGGGAGAGGUAGACGGUACUCGGGAGGAAGUGGUAAAAUGCUUUGAUCUCUCGAUGACCACCUGUGGCGAAGGCGGUCUACCAGAACACGUCCGACGGUGAGGGAUGAAAGCUGGGGGAGCAAACCGGAUUAGAUACCCGGGUAGUCCCAGCUGUAAACUAUGCAAACUCAGUGAUGCAUUGACUUGUGGUCAAUGCAGUGUUGCAGGGAAGCCGUUAAGUUUGCCGCCUGGGAAGUACGUACGCAAGUAUGAAACUUAAAGGAAUUGGCGGGGGAGCACCACAAGGGGUGAAGCCUGCGGUUCAAUUGGAGUCAACGCCAGAAAUCUUACCCGGAGAGACAGCAGAAUGAAGGUCAAGCUGAAGACUUUACCAGACAAGCUGAGAGGUGGUGCAUGGCCGUCGCCAGCUCGUGCCGUGAGAUGUCCUGUUAAGUCAGGUAACGAGCGAGAUCCCUGCCUCUAGUUGCCACCAUUACUCUCAGGAGUAGUGGGGCGAAUUAGCGGGACCGCCGCAGUUAAUGCGGAGGAAGGAAGGGGCCACGGCAGGUCAGUAUGCCCCGAAACUCUGGGGCCACACGCGGGCUGCAAUGGUAAUGACAAUGUGUUCCGAAUCCGAAAGGAAGAGGUAAUCCUCAAACAUUACCACAGUUAUGACUGAGGGCUGCAACUCGCCCUCACGAAUAUGGAAUCCCUAGUAACUGCGUGUCAUUAUCGCGCGGUGAAUACGUCCCUGCUCCUUGCACACACCGCCCGUC
rnacentral:rRNA from 1 species